GGAAAUUGUGGAUUUAUUUUUUUUUAAACGCACACUGCUUUUUUUUUUCUUUCUUUCUAGAACUGUCCAUUGUUCUUUCUGUUCCCAUAUAUCGCGCUGCGCUGCAGGGAUGGUGGUUUUCUUAGUUUGCAUCAAUUAACUGUUUGCCUGACAGAUCUUUAUUGCGGGUCAUUUGACCAAGGAACAUUAGUCUCAGACUAGCCAUGGUGUUGCCCGUGGUGAUACCACCUGGGACAGAUUAAGACAUCUUGGCAUUUAAACGAACAAGAUGGCCUACCGAAGCCAGCGUGAGAAAAUGGUUACCUUUUCAUCAGUCUAAGCCUUUCCGAAUUCUCUUGAUUCCUACUUUAUUGUUUCAUUAAGGAUUCCAAGAGGCAAACCCCACUGAGAUGGAGAGGAAGACUGGAGCUAGGGUUGCUGGGAAGAAGAUGGCGAAGCACCAAGUUCAUAGUACACCCCCCUCCCCCUCCCUCCACCCCAGCCUUGAUAGUCCUUUGAUUGCAGAUUGUCUUUCAAAUCAUCUAUUUCCCAGCCUGUGGCCCUUCAGAUUUUUUUGAGGGGGGGAGGGCUGGUUUACCUCCACUAUUUAAAAUAGGACUGACUGUCCAUAUCAGAUGCUCAGAUGCCUGAUGCUCUAUUUUUGCUAUGGUGGGUUGUGUUUGAAAGGAUUUCAUGCUAAAGGGUUUCCAGUAUGUCCUGGUGGAAUAACACGUGGCAGAAAACGGCAAUCCUCCCCUCCUCCCCUUUGUUCUUUAAAGAACCAAAGAUACCUUCAAAUAUUGACCGAGUUUACUAUAUCACAGCUUUUAACUGGUAGGGUGUCUGGCUGACUCAUAAGUGGCAAGGGUUUUAUCCUCUUAUCCUUAGCAAUGAGUUUUAUGUAUUUAGAGUUCUCUAUCAUUCUGUAUGAAUUAUGAAUUGAGUAGUAUAAUUUAGAGGGCUAUCUGUACUUAAAUAAAGUCCCCCCCCAGGUAGUGUUUUUGGAGGACAGUGCUGGAAUAUAUUCUAAAAUCAAUAGCUUUCAAGUCAGUGAGUUUUAGAUUUUUAAACAAAAUAAUUUUAAAAUCAAUUAAAAAUAUUAUGUUAUUUGUUUUUUCUUUAGCCAGCUUUUUUUGCCAAGCAUUAGUAGAUGGAGAAGGGAACUCUUUAAGAUCCUGAUAUGCUGCACCAGGAGUUGACUAUAUUGACUGUCUGGACAGAGGCAUUUAUGUUCCUUAACUGGUGUUCAAGCUGUCCGUGGCUUAUGAAACGGAUCUUCCUCCAUUACCCUAAUUUAAAUGUUAAGUAGAAGAGUCCCCAGCUUUAGGUUCCCUGUGCUUGGAGGCCUCUUUAUAAUCCUCCAGGAUUUUUCAGAGCAAAUCACAUUAUGGUUUUAAAUGUACUAAUUACGUUUUCUUUAUUUUUAUUUCCCUUUAACAUCAAGCCAUUUGCAUUUCAUGGUUAAGAUAAAUGGUGCAUGAAGUCAGAGAAAAGCUUACCUUUUGGGAAUAUUAUUCAUUGUAAAAUAGAUGUCUGUGCUAUGCGUGCUAGUUCUGUAAAACAUUGCACAUGAGAAUCAUUCUUCAAACAACUCAAGUAGCAUGUGUAUACACAUGCACACAUAAAUGUAUACAUGUAUGUUUACAUGUAUACCCUAUGCUAUCUUAUUAAUGACAAUACUAAAUGGGUUGGUGUAGAAUGUUAUUUUGCAGUGGUUUUAUAUUAGUCUUUGGAAAACAAUUGAUUUCUGUCUUUAUAAAUACACAUUUGAAAGGGGAAGUCAUAGUAGACUACAAACACACUCCUUACCAAUACUUCUAAAAUGGUUUGCAUUGGGUUUAGCUAAGAUGUUCAUUUGCAGGCCUCAAACUCACUUUCACGAUCAUUAGACUGUAAAGGCUGGAACAAACACCACCAAAUAAAGGAUUUAAUACAGAUUUUUUUGGUCUUAUUUUUGUGAUCUCUUACAAAAUUUUGUUUUCAAAAGCUGUCCAAAAAAGUCCUGAGAACUACGUCAAAGCAGGUGCUCUGGUAUCUGGGUCUUUGGAUUUGCAUAGGCCUUUGCUGGUGGGGGCAGCUUUCACCAUGAUGGUCUUAGCUGGUAGCUUAGGUAGCUGCUGAAGAUAGCCUGCAAGGGCACGGACAAGUUGGCCUUCUCCAGGACAGGCACCGUCUCAACUUUUCUCUCAACUCAGUCCUUUCCAACUCAUUCUGUUCCCAACACUUGAGCAAAUCCGGGGAGCAUGGGAUUUACUCUUUGAAACCACAGAGUUGCCAACAGGCAGAAUUGCUUUACAGAUAAAAGUAUGUGUCUUGGGGAAAAUUUGCAGGGAGGUUUCCCCAGAGUUUAAUGGAAAGAAACUGGGUGUGGGAGGGUCUUCAGACAGUGGCUUGUCUACUGGAGACAAAUGACGUCACAUCUUGAUGAAUUCUCCUUUUUUUUUUUCUUUCAGUUGUGGAAUAGAGAUAGUAAUGUCCAUUUUCAAGUUACAAUAAGGAUUGCACAAGUUCAUUAAUGGCUAAGAAUAGUGACUGGCUCUAGAGGGUUCCUUAAUCUAUCUGUGAUGUUUGAUGUAGUAAAUGGAACUGACAUUAUUCACCAGUUUCUACCAUGUUGAGACGAAUUUCUGAUGCAGGCUGGCAGAUGAAUACUUGAGUACUUAGUGAUAUUCAACCAGAAACAGCCCAUCUCAAUUUGAAAGGGUCAGAAAUUUCAUAUGUAAAUACCAUACAUAUGUGAUAUAUACAUAUGAGUGAUAUAUGUAUGUAAUUCUGUGGGCACUGUGUGUAUUUUCUCCAAAGUGGGUUGCAUGGUCUCAGCCCGGCCCCUUUGAUCCCAGAGCUGCUUAUGAAAACCAAGAAGGCCAUUUAGGUUAUUUUGAGAAACUACAUAAACCCCUCUCGUGUCCCAAAACCACAGCCAUAGCUAGUCUUCCAAAGGAGAACUGCUGUUACCUGUCAAUCCUUCUGUAGCUAGAAAGACAGAUGUGCAGAUAAAUGUCACAUGAGAAGGUUGUAUGGUGAAUCUUUUGAGAGCAAAUAGAAUCAUAUCAUGUUCUCACGAGGGUGCAGGUCAAUUUUAAUUCUGAGGAGACACCAAUGUAGGAAACAGAAGGUGUCAAACAGCAUUCUCCCUUUCCCUCUGGAAGUUAGGCAUGGGAUGAAGUAAGAGGCAGAGAGAGCCCAGUAGUGGGUUUUCCCUCUGUGCCCAAGAGGAUUCAGGUACCAAUCCAAGGAAACACAUAGAGAAGUCUGAGCAGUGUAGGCACUUGGUGCAUACAGGGCAUGACUGAGUGGAGUGUGGGAAGGCAUUCCUGCAAGCUUUGGAAAUUUGGAAAGAGAACCUAUUUGUGAGCACAACAGGAGACUCGAACACCAGGAAAUACUUCAGGAUGACAUAGGAAUGUGGGGUAGAGUGGAGAAGGCAAAACCUUUGUGUGGUGUUUUCUCCUUGUCACUUAAAAGCACUUUAUGAACUUUGAAUUAAUAAAAGUUCAGUUUGGAUGAGAGAGGAGAGGACCUGUGCUUCAGUAGCUUUAAAAAGACCUUUCUCUGAAAUACAGAUUUCGGCAUUAGUUUGGGCAUUGUGUAUGGGAUAUGGUAUCUAGAGAAUAUGAUUUCUAUAGGUUGGUGUGGCUGGGGUUGUGGUCACCUGCAUAGAAUCCUGUCUCAGGUGCCUUAGGCCUUGCUACUUAGGUGAACUUUAGCAAAAUACUUAGCUUCAGUGUGCCUAACUUGGAAGUAGAGAAUGGAAUACAGGGUUAUUGUAAGGAUGAGAGGAAGUUAUCAAGUUAGGAUGAUGGUGCAUCCAACUUCAGCAUGUCUUUUGAGUCCCCAUUCACUCUAAAGUGGCGGACACACCCAUUUCCUUUACAUCAUCGUCUAUGUCGAUAGCUAGUCACAUGCUUCUACAAACGAGGUCAGUGUUACAAGCCAGACCCCUGAGGAUGCCUUGGGAAGUCUUUGGAAGAACUUAGAAAUCAAUGACUAAAAAACCAGACAGACAAACAAAAAACAAAACCAAAAAUUCAUAGCUAUAGUUCCUUGAGUAUGCCAUUAGAACACUUCCUAGUUCCAGGAUGAUGUUACAUUGUGAUGAAGCAUGUCAUAAUUGAAUUUUAAUCCCCUCAGACUAAUUGUAAUAUGUAUUUCACCUGUAAAUAAAUGGAAAGUAGAGAUUUAAAUGGUGUGUCUAAGAUCUGUGGUUUUCAGCCCUGGUUCAUUCACCAGGGCUAAUUGGCCAUUUUAUUUUAUGUAAUACAGACUCUUAGAGCUAAGUAAUUCUUAACAUGCGAACACCCUCAAUAUUCCCCUAAAGUGAGUGAGACUAAAUUUCUCAAUGAAAAGAAAUCUACUGAACAGUUUACAUAUUCAAGCUGAGAUACAGGUAGGGCCUAUUGAUUAGAAGUGCCUUUGUCAUCGUGUGUGUAGGGGUUGAUGUCCUACACAUAUCAGUGAUGAUGAUGGUUGCUGUUAUUCAGGCUUUCAAUAAGUGUGGAUUCACCUGAAGGCUCCCUUGCCUUCUUCUACCUCACAGGUUGAAGCAAUAUCUCAAAUAUCUUAUCUGGAACUUGGCUCUGGAGAUGUGGAUGGAGUAAAUGUGAACUCUGUUCCUUCCUGCCGUUCAAUGACCAACCAAUGAAAAGCCUCAUGGAAGGUUUGGUAUCCAUUCAUUGGUGGAUGAACCAAAGAGAGCUUGGCUUUGAAGUCCUCUGCACUGAAGUGUUGGAUGUGCAGGGUAUGGGUGAACUCACCAGACUACAGUGCAGAGCAGGGUAAAGGAUGCCACAGGAGGCUAGCAGUUGAUCUCACUAAGGACAUAGAGACACAACAAGGUCCGUUAACCAGCUUGUAGCAUUCAAGGAAGGUGUAUCUUGGAGAACUCCAAGAUGGGAGGCAAGCUGAGCAAGAAGAAGAAGGGCUACAAUGUGAACGACGAGAAAGCCAAGGACAAAGACAAGAAGGCUGAAGGCGCGGGCACC